rnacentral:rRNA from 11 species
GUGUACAAAUAUUGCUGUCUAAACACACCCGUAUUCUGCCUGAUACUGGAAGCUAAAUAGGGCCCACCCUGGUGAGUACAUGGAUAGGAAACCAUCAAUCAAUAUCAGGUGGUUUUGUAGGCU